rnacentral:rRNA from 1 species
AGUGAACGCUGGCGGCAGGCCUAACACAUGCAAGUCGAACGGCAGCACAGUAAGAGCUUGCUCUUACGGGUGGCGAGUGGCGGACGGGUGAGGAAUACAUCGGAAUCUACUUUUUCGUGGGGGAUAACGUAGGGAAACUUACGCUAAUAGCUCAUACGUCCUACGGGUGAAAGCAGGGGAUCUUCGGACCUUGCGCGAUUGAAUGAGCCGAAGUCGCGUUAGCUAGUUGGCGGGGUAAAGGCACACCAAGGCGACGAUCCGUAGCUGGUCUGAGAGGAUGAUCAGCCACACUGGAACUGAGACACGGUCCAGACUCCUACGGGAGGCAGCAGUGGGGAAUAUUGGACAAUGGGCGCAAGCCUGAUCCAGCCAUACCGCGUGGGUGAUGAAGGUCUUCGGGUUGUAAAGCCCUUUUGUUGGGAAAGAAAAGCAGCAGGUUAAUACCCGGCUGUUUUGACGGUACCCAAAGAAUAAGCACCGGCUAACUUCGUG